GGGUGCGAGCGUUAAUCGGAAUUACUGGGCGUAAAGCGGUGCGCAGGCCGAUUUGUAAGUCAGAUGUGAAAUCCCCGGGCUUAACCUGGGAACUGCGUUUGAAACUACAAGGCUAGAGUGUAGCAGAGGGAGAGUGGAAUUCCACGUGUAGCAGUGAAAUGCGUAGAGAUGUGGAGGAACACCGAUGGCGAAGGCAGCCCCCUGGGUUAACACUGACGCUCAGGCACGAAAGCGUGAGAGAGCAAACAGGAUUAGAUACCCUGGUAGUCACGCCCUAAACUAUGUCAACUAGUUGUCGGGCUUAACGGGCUUGGUAACGCAGCUAACGCGUGAAGUUGACCGCCUGGGGAGUACGGUCGCAAGAUUAAAACUCAAAGGAAUUGACGGGGACCCGCACAAGCGGUGGAUUAUGUGGAUUAAUUCGAUGCAACGCGAAAAACCUUACCUACCCUUGACAUGUACCGAAGCCCGCCGAGAGGUGGGUGUGCCCGAAAGGGAGCGGUAACACAGGUGCUGCAUGGCUGUCGUCAGCUCGUGUCGUGAGAUGUUGGGUUAAGUCCCGCAACGAGCGCAACCCUUGUCAUUAAUUGCCAUCAUUCAGUUGGGCACUUUAAUGAAACUGCCGGUGACAAACCGGAGGAAGGUGGGGAUGACGUCAAGUCCUCAUGGCCCUUAUGGGUAGGGCUUCACACGUAAUACAAUGGCGCGUACAGAGGGUUGCCAACCCGCGAGGGGGAGCCAAUCUCAGAAAGCGCGUCGUAGUCCGGAUCGGAGUCUGCAACUCGACUCCGUGAAGUCGGAAUCGCUAGUAAUCGCGGAUCAGCAUGUCGCGGUGAAUACGUUCCCGGGUCUUGUACACACCGCCCGUCACACCAUGGGAGUGGGUUUCACCAGAA
rnacentral:rRNA from 1 species